CAGCCGCCGCGGUAAUACGUAGGUGGCAAGCGUUGUCCGGAAUUAUUGGGCGUAAAGGGCUCGCAGGCGGUUUCUUAAGUGUGAUGUGAAAGCCCCCGGCUCAACCGGGGAGGGUCAUUGGAAACUGGGAAACUUGAGUGCAGAAGAGGAGAGUGGAGUUCCACGUGUAGCGGUGAAAUGCGUAGAGAUGUGGAGGAACACCAGUGGCGAAGGCGACUCUCUGGUCUGUAACUGACGCUGAGGAGCGAAAGCGUGGGGAGCGAACAGGAUUAGAUACCCGUGUAGUCCCUGUCUCUUAUAC
rnacentral:rRNA from 1 species